UACAUGGGGUGCAAACGUUGCUCGGAAUUAUUGGGCGUAAAGAGCGUGUAGGCGGUUAGGUAGGUCCGUUGUGAAAACUCGAGGCUCAACCUCGAGACGCCGAUGGAAACCAUCUGACUAGAGUCCGGAAGAGGAGAGUGGAAUUCCUGGUGUAGCGGUGAAAUGCGCAGAUAUCAGGAAGAACACCCGUGGCUAAGGCGGCUCUCUAGUAUGUGACUGACGCUGAGACGCGAAAGCGUGGGGAGCGAACAGG
rnacentral:rRNA from 1 species